rnacentral:rRNA from 1 species
UACGAAGGGGGCUAGCGUUGCUCGGAAUCACUGGGCGUAAAGGGUGCGUAGGCGGGUCUUUAAGUCAGGGGUGAAAUCCUGGAGCUCAACUCCAGAACUGCCUUUGAUACUGAGGAUCUUGAGUUCGGGAGAGGUGAGUGGAACUGCGAGUGUAGAGGUGAAAUUCGUAGAUAUUCGCAAGAACACCAGUGGCGAAGGCGGCUCACUGGCCCGAUACUGACGCUGAGACACGAAAGCGUGGGGAGCAAACAGGG